AGUGAACGCUGGCGGUAGGCCUAACACAUGCAAGUCGAACGGCAGCACAGUAAGAGCUUGCUCUUACGGGUGGCGAGUGGCGGACGGGUGAGGAAUACAUCGGAAUCUACUUUUUCGUGGGGGAUAACGUAGGGAAACUUACGCUAAUACCGCAUACGACCUACGGGUGAAAGCAGGGGAUCUUCGGACCUUGCGCGAUCGAAUGAGCCGAUGUCGGAUUAGCUAGUUGGCGGGGUAAAGGCCCACCAAGGCGACGAUCCGUAGCUGGUCUGAGAGGAUGAUCAGCCACACUGGAACUGAGACACGGUCCAGACUCCUACGGGAGGCAGCAGUGGGGAAUAUUGGGCAAUGGGCGCAAGCCUGAUCCAGCCAUACCGCGUGGGUGAAGAAGGCCUUCGGGUUGUAAAGCCCUUUUGUUGGGAAAGAAAAGCAGCAGGUUAAUACCCCGCUGUUCUGACGGUACCCAAAGAAUAAGCACCGGCUAACUUCGUG
rnacentral:rRNA from 1 species